rnacentral:rRNA from 1 species
UCCAGACUCCUACGGGAGGCAGCAGUGGGGAAUAUUGGGCAAUGGACGCAAGUCUGACCCAGCAACGCCGCGUGAAGAAAGAAGGCUUUCGGGUUGUAAACUUCUUUUAAGGGGGAAGAGCAGAAGACGGUACCCCUUGAAUAAGCCACGACUAACUACGUGCCAGCAGCCGCGGUAAUACGGAGGAUGCGAGCGUUAUCCGGAUUUAUUGGGUUUAAAGGGUGCGUAGGCGGGCUGUUAAGUCAGCGGUCAAAUGUCGGGGCUCAACCCCGGCCUGCCGUUGAAACUGGCGGCCUCGAGUGGGCGAGAAGUAUGCGGAAUGCGUGGUGUAGCGGUGAAAUGCAUAGAUAUCACGCAGAACUCCGAUUGCGAAGGCAGCAUACCGGCGCCCGACUGACGCUGAGGCACGAAAGCGUGGGGAUCGAACAGGAUUAGAUACCCCCGUAG